UGGGGAAUAUUGCGCAAUGGGCGAAAGCCUGACGCAGCGACGCCGCGUGAGGGAUGAAGGUUUUCGGAUCGUAAACCUCUGUCAGAAGGGAAGAAACCGCACUGUGCUAAUCAGCAGUGCCUUGACGGUACCUUCAAAGGAAGCACCGGCUAACUCCGUGCCAGCAGCCGCGGUAAUACGGAGGUUGCAAGCGUUAAUCGGAAUUACUGGGCGUAAAGCGCACGUAGGCUGCUUUGUAAGUCAGGGGUGAAAUCCCACGGCUCAACCGUGGAACUGCCUUUGAUACUGCUAAACUUGAAUCCGGGAGAGGGUGGCGGAAUUCCAGGUAUAGGAGUGAAGUCCGUAGAUAUCUGGAAGAACAUCAGUGACGAAGGCGGCCACCUGGGCCGGUAUUGACGCUGAGGUGCGAAAGCGUGGGGAGCAAACAGG
rnacentral:rRNA from 1 species